rnacentral:lncRNA from 1 species
CUCUCCCUCUCUUUCUUUCUCUCUUUCUCUCUUUCUCGUAUGCAAUUUAUCGUGUACGCAACAAAGAAUGUAAGUAUAUGUAUACUCUCUCUCUCUCUAUAUAUAUAUAUAUAUAUAUAUAUAGAGAGAGAGAGAGAGAGAGAGAGAGAGAGAGAGAGAGAGAGAGAGAGAGAGAGAGAGAGAGAGAGAGAUGUGGGUAUGUCUAACGGAAGCGCGGUGUUAGGAAGGCGUCGUAACCUUGAGGAUUAACUUUUAUUACUAUUAAUUCGAUU